GAAAUGCGAUAAGUAAUGUGAAUUGCAGAAUUCAGUGAAUCAUCGAAUCUUUGAACGCACAUUGCGCCCGCCAGUAUUCUGGCGGGCAUGCCUGUCCGAGCGUCAUUUCAACCAUCAAGCCCCCGGGCUUGUGUUGGGGACCUGCGGCUGCCCGCAGGCCCUGAAAACCAGUGGCGGGCUCGCUGUCACACCGAGCGUAGUAGCAAUCACCUCGCUCAGGGCGUGCUGCGGGUUCCGGCCGUUAAACAGCCUUACAAAACCCAAGGUUGACCUCGGAUCAGGUAGGAAGACCCGCUGAACUUACGC
rnacentral:misc_RNA from 1 species